UCCAGGAACGGAUCGGAUCCCACAGCUGGGGCUUCCUCUGGCACACAUGCCUGGAGCUGAGGUGCUGGACCCUUCCCCCCGCCACCUUGGGCCCAGGAAUCCCCAGGACUCUGACUACAGAAGGCAGUACCAAAACUCAACUGUGGGCCUCUUUGAGAAUCAUAAAGUAAAAAUAUUAGAGCUAAAUGUUGAUUCUGGUCUUUGGGGACAAUGACUGCUUCUUUUAAAAACCUCACUGUUUGCAGCAAAUCUGUUCAUCUUAUUUCCCCAGGAAGCAUUUGGCCUAAAACAAAACACAACACCAAGUCAAAACUAUCGCCGGCAGCUACUGCCACUCUGUGUGACCCAGGCCCAUCUCUGAGCUUCGGGUCUGUCAUUGCCAGAAGAGGAGACACGUGCAGCCCCACACACCUCACACGGGCGGGCGGCAGGGGCAGAGCCGGCCUUGGCCUGUGCAGCUUCUCCAGCCCUGGACACCAGCUUCUGUCCAAGGCUGCGGAGGGGCUGCUGCAUACACAGCCAACUCAAGAGGCCAGUCUCCAGGAGGCUCCGAUGGCUGCUGCACCAGGUUCCCAGGCACGUGAGGCUGGGUGUCCCCCUUGUCCCAGAGGCUCCGUGGUGCCAGGUUGCUUACCCAAGGUCACAAGAUUUUACCAAUAAAAUUUAAAACAACAGCAGAUAAGCGCGUCUACACCCAUCUUCCCACUCAGCUCGUGCAUUUCCCACGAAGGAGGAGUGUUGUUACCGCCUACGGUUUUCAAAUAAGGAAAGUAAACCUGAGGGUGAGCCCCUGCCAAGGGCACGAGGCCAGUGAAUGCUGAGCCACUUCAACACCAGGUAAUGUGGCUGGGAGCAUACACCCGUCACCACGCGCCCCCCACCAUCCAGCGAUGCAGCGCACACCAGGAGGGGGUCCUAGCCGCUUCCUGAUGUUGUGAUGAGAGGCAGAGCAAAGCCGGACACUGGGCUUCUGCUCUUCUUUCUGGAACAAGCAUGUUGGAGACGUGCCGCAGCUCAGGCUGACCCUGCCCCCGUGAUGUGCAGUGAACGCAGGCCUUUGCACCCAGCGUCGUGCCCGAGGCUGCCAGCCCUGCAGGCUCCGGAGCAUCUCCUGUCCCGGGCGAUGCCGCAAAGCCCUGCGGCUCUGCUGUCCCUUGGUGGCCCCACUGCUGUCCUUUCCUCACCCCCAUCUGGUCUGUGAAGGACGAGGCAGAGGACAGCUCAUCCCGGCCCCAGGCUGGGCUUCUCCCGGUGGUUUGGGGCCAGGCGUCGUCUCCAAAGGGAGGCCCAGCACCAGCUCCUUUUUAUCCAAAUGAAGAAGUCUCAAAAAGCCAGGAAGGCUCGGUUCCCCAGGGAGCUGGGUGUAAGGCAGGGCGUCCCACCAGGGAAGGGCAUUCUGUGGGCAGAGAUCUUAAGGAGCAGCUGGGCACACUGGUGGCCCCUGCAGGGCCAGGAGGCAAUGGAAUCCGUGGGACAGGGGACUGGACUAUGUCCUAAAGGACAGGAGGGAACCACUGGCCCCACAGGCAGAGCAAGGUAAGAAACACACCAGCCACAGGCUGCAGGCGGCAGCACGGGAGGGCUCUAAGCCGAGCCCACGCAUGCAUUUCCCAUCUGCACAGGCCAGAGAGCCCUGACAUGUCACCUGCCUGGCCACUCCACAGAAGCGUGCACACAUGGGAGGGCCCCACCUGCCACCCAGGCCACCAGCCCCUCUUAGGAGCUCCAAGCCCCACCUCCAUGCCGCAUGGGCUCCAGGCUGACUAGGCUGUCCUCAUCACAUUCCACAGCAAAGUCACUCCAGCACCUCCAGUCUCAGCUCAGCCUCAGACACUGGGCUGACUAGGGCCACCUGCAGCUGGCGGCAGGACAGAGGGGCCGGGCAAAGGUAGGCAUGGAUGCCAACAGCCCUCAGGGCCGGCACACCAACUCAGUCACGGCCAUGCGGUGGCCCCUGGCUCUUCCCUCUUCCAGCCUUGUCUGUCACCUUUAAAGAGAUGACUUGAGGACACCGGGUCACCCUGUCUCUUCCCCUUCCCUCCUCCCUGCUCCAACAGCUCAACUCUCAGCACAAGCAUCCCUCUGAUGCCAGAGGCUGGGGACUUACUGGCUUUGCAGCCACUGCUUCCAGGUGUCAGACCUUUCGGAGACCCCACUGUCUCUGGCCACUGCCCCCAGCCUGUUCCAGUGGGCAGCCCUGCAAGCCUCAGUUCUAGGUCUCUCUGAACUCAGAGACCUCAGUGACUUAGAGUUGUCAUUGGCCCUCAAGGUGACUGACACCUUCAGGUCAGAUAAGGCUACCUGUGACAGAGAUUUUGAAAGUGGCAUUCUUCACUGUAGAAAACAGCAGGGCGGUUCCUCAAAAUCACACACAAGGCCGGGCUUAGCCUAAUCCCAGCACUUUGCGGGGCUGAGGCGGGAGGAUCACUUGAGCCCAGAAGUUCAUGACCAGCCUGAACAACAUGGCAAGACCCUGUCUCUACAAAUAAUUUAAAAAUUAGGCAGGUGUGGUGGUACAUGCCUGCAGUCCUACUUGAGAGGGUGAGGUAGGAGGAUCGCUUGAGCCCAGGAGGUGGAGGCUGCAGCGAGCCAUGACUGUGCCACUGCACUCCAGCCUGGGUGAUACAGCGAACCCCUUAAAAAAAAAAAUUACACACAGAACCUAAUCUAGCAAUUCCACUUUUAUUGACUUGAAGAGAUCCCUGAACACCAUGUUCAUAGCAGCCUUAUUCACAUUCGCCAAGAGGUGGAGGCAACCAAAUGUCCGUCACAGUUAUGUAGAUAAACACAUUAUGCCACACAGAUGACAAGGGAUUGUUCAGCCAUGAAAGGAAGGCCGUGCCGACGCAUGCCAGAACACAGAUGAUCCCUGAUGACAUGAGGCAAAGUGAAAUACGCCAGUCGGAAAAGGACAAAUCCUGCAGGACCCACGUAUAUGAGGUCCCUAGCGCCACAGACGGGAAGCAGAAUGGGGGUGCCAGGGACUGGGGAAGGGGGAGGGGGAGUGAGUGUUGAAUGGGGACAGAGUUUCAGUCUGGCAAGAUGACAAAGUUCUGAAGGUGGCUGGUGGUGAUGGCUACACAACACUAUGAGUGGACUUAAUGCUUCCAGACACUUAAAAAGGGUUAAAAUGGUAAAUUUUAUGUUACACAUAUUGUACCACAAUAAAAAUCAAUAUGUUUUUAAAUAAUUUUGAAGUUUUAUAAAGUGACAUGUCUUACCACUCUACCCCAGUGGUUCUUAAAGUGGGGUCCCACGGCGGCCGCAUCAGCAGCACCUAGGAGGUUGUUAGAAAUGCAGAU